CAGCAGCCGCGGUAAUACGAAGGGUGCAAGCGUUACUCGGAAUUACUGGGCGUAAAGCGUGCGUAGGUGGUGGUUUAAGUCCGUUGUGAAAGCCCUGGGCUCAACCUGGGAAUUGCAGUGGAUACUGGGUCACUAGAGUGUGGUAGAGGAUAGUGGAAUUUCCGGUGUAGCAGUGAAAUGCGUAGAGAUCGGAAGGAACAUCUGUGGCGAAGGCGACUAUCCGGGCCAACACUGACACUGAGGCACGAAAGCGUGGGGAGCAAACAGGAUUAGAUACCCCGGUAGUCCCUGUCUCUUAUAC
rnacentral:rRNA from 1 species